GGCCCUAUCGUCUAACGGUCAGGACACGAGCUUCUCAAGCUCGGAAUCGGGGUUCGAUUCCCCGUGGGGUCA
rfam:Parcubacteria bacterium GW2011_GWF2_50_9 TY62_C0031, whole genome shotgun sequence.